AGAGUUUGAUCCUGGCUCAGGACGAACGCUGGCGGCGUGCUUAACACAUGCAAGUCGAACGAGGACCAAGGUGCUUGCACCUUGUAGCCGAGUGGCGGACGGGUGAGUAACACGUGACCAACCUGCCUUCAGGCGGGGGAUAACCUGGGGAAACCCGGGCUAAUACCGUAUCGUGUGUCGUCUCCGAAUGGAGUCGACAUGAAAGGGAGCCUCUGCUUGCAAGCUUCUGCCUGAAGAGGGGGUCGCGACGUAUCAGCUUGUUGGUGAGGUAACGGCUCACCAAGGCUACGACGCGUAGCGGGUCUGAGAGGACGACCCGUCACAUUGGGACUGAGAUACGGCCCAGACUCCUACGGGAGGCAGCAGUGGGGAAUAUUGCGCAAUGGGUGAGAGCCUGACGCAGCGACGCCGCGUGUGGGAGGAAGCCCUUCGGGGUGUAAACCACUGUCAGGGGGGAAGAACUCCGGGUUGGCGAACAGCCAGGUCGGGUGACGGUACCUCCAGAGGAAGCGCCGGCUAACUCCGUGCCAGCAGCCGCGGUAAGAUGGAGGGCGCAAGCGUUGUUCGGAAUUACUGGGCGUAAAGGGCAGGCAGGCGGUCUGUUUAGUCUACUGUG
rnacentral:rRNA from 1 species